rnacentral:rRNA from 1 species
AUUGAACGCUGGCGGCAGGCCUAACACAUGCAAGUCGAACGGUAACAGGAAGCAGCUUGCUGCUUCGCUGACGAGUGGCGGACGGGUGAGUAAUGUCUGGGAAACUGCCUGAUGGAGGGGGAUAACUACUGGAAACGGUAGCUAAUACCGCAUAACGUCGCAAGACCAAAGAGGGGGACCUUAGGGCCUCUUGCCAUCGGAUGUGCCCAGAUGGGAUUAGCUAGUAGGUGGGGUAACGGCUCACCUAGGCGACGAUCCCUAGCUGGUCUGAGAGGAUGACCAGCCACAUUGGAACUGAGACACGGUCCAGACUCCUACGGGAGGCAGCAGUGGGGAAUAUUGCACAAUGGGCGCAAGCCUGAUGCAGCCAUGCCGCGUGUAUGAAGAAGGCCUUCGGGUUGUAAAGUACUUUCAGCGGGGAGGAAGGGAGUAAAGUUAAUACCUUUGCUCAUUGACGUUACCCGCAGAAGAAGCACCGGCUAACUCCGUG